AUUUUCUCCCAUGAACCACACGAAAUUUAAAUUCUGCUGUGAAUUUUCCAAAAGGACCUUAAAAUACUUUCACCACUCCUUUCUCCCCAUUUCUACUCUUCCACCCCCCACCCCAACCACCACCACCACCACCACCACCGGCCGGCGACCCGAAAAUGGACGGCGGCAGCAUUCUGGAAACGAUCGGAGUAGAGAUCAUCGGAGUAAUGUCACCAGUAUCCAUCUGCAUGUUCCUCGUUGUCCUUAUCGUCUACUCUCUUUCUUCACCAUCUUCCUCCGACAACCAACAAGUCAUCCGUACAGCCGCUAACCUCGUAUACCUCGAAUCAUCUUCCGAUACAACUGCCCAAAAGCUCGAAGGAGCAGUUCUAAACGCCGUCGUUUUUGUAGUACUCAUAACCCUUGUAACAUUCCUUCUUGUAAUUCUAUAUUACUAUCGUUUCACUAAUUUUCUGAAAUACUACAUCCGUUUUUCUGCUUUCUUCGUUCUUGGUUCAAUGGGUGGAUCAAUUUUUCUUACUCUUAUUCAACAUUUCAAUAUCCCAAUUGAUUCCUUCACUUUUUGUCUACUCCUAUUCAAUUUCACCAUUUUAGGGGUCAUAUCUGUGUUUUCACAAGGGGUUCCGAUUUUGCUUAACCAAAUGUAUAUGGUUGCUUUAGGGAUUAUUGUAGCAGCUUGGUUUACGAAAUUACCCGAAUGGACAACUUGGGUUGUGCUUGUUGCACUUGCUUUGUAUGAUCUUGUUGCAGUUUUAGCACCUGGUGGACCGUUGAAGAUGUUGGUGGAGCUUGCUUCUAGUAGGGAUGAAGAGUUACCUGCUUUGGUGUACGAGGCCCGGCCUAAUGUGGGUUCGAGAGCAGGGAGUAGAGGGCCAAAUUUAGGGCUUUUGUUAGCUGGGUUUUCUGAUGGUGAUCCGAUUGAGCUUCGGGUUAUGUCGAGUAGUGAAAAUGUGGUUCAGAAUGGGAGGGGUAUGAAUGAGAGGAGUGAAAGUGAAGAGAUUGAUGGUGUUAGAGAGGUUGAAAUUGAGGGGGAGAUGUUACCAUUGAUGGGUAGUAGUGGUAGUAACGAAAGAGAAAGGCCGGUGGCCAAUGAAGAGAUAAGAGAAAGUAACGAGAGUGAUCGGGCUCGGGUUUUAGAGAGGGAAAUUGAGGAAGAGGAGGAGAGAGGGAGGGGGAUAAAGCUUGGUUUAGGAGAUUUUGUUUUCUACAGUGUGUUGGUGGGGAGAGCUGCAAUGUAUGAUUUGAUGACUGUUUAUGCUUGUUAUCUCGCUAUUAUAUCGGGAUUAGGGUGCACGCUUAUACUGUUAGCUGUGUGUCGACAUGCCUUGCCAGCACUUCCCAUAUCCAUUGCUUUGGGAGUCAUCUUUUACUUUUUGACAAGGCUGUUGAUGGAGCCAUUCGUUGUUGGGACUUCGACGAAUCUUUUGAUGUUUUGACCCUUGAUACGUGGAGGAGGAAAUUAGAAAGUACAGGAUAUAUUCAGUUCCAAGACAUACAUUUUGAUUUAGAAGAAAACUAAUUGCUUUCGGCACACCCUUGUUUCAAGGUUCCGAACAGGAAGGGACAACUCAAGCUAUAUUUUGUUCUGAUCUAUCUGUAAAAUUGCAAGUCUAUUGAGACCUUGACGUGCUCUCAUUUAGAUGGGAUCAUAUCCUAGUAGAGGCACUUUCUAUAGCUGUUUUUUUGUAGCCAAGGUUAUAGGAAUAGGUUAUAGGUAGGUAUGCUGACUCUUUGAGAUAUUCUAGUUUUGAGGUGCUUAAGAUUUUUGCUUUCACUUGUAUUUCUUUCAACUUUAUCUGUUUCCUAGGCACAGUGGAUGGAGUUAAACCCCUGUGCAAACUGAAAAUACUCUCUGAAGCUUUGGAACCUUCUACAAAAAAUCCAGUUCUGUAAACAUUUCUUUGCACUUAUUAAUGA